UCUUCUAUUUGGGGGUUAAAAUCAUCGAUUGUUCGUGCUACUGUCACGUUCUUGGACACAAUUCGAAUCAGUAAUUUGUUAGAAAAAUGAUUUCGAAAGAACAAGAUGCCACGAAAACUAAUGAGAAAUUCAGCGAAGAUUGAAUGCAGAUAUCCUGAAAUUGACGAAUUUGAUGGUGUUUGUGAACGUGCACAGUGUGAUUGAUAGAAUCAGUGUUUGCUGCGUAAUAGUAUUUCCAAUAUUUUUCAAAGUACAAUAGUUUUGAUUAAAUCUAGUUAGAGUAGUUAUACGCGGAAAUUAGAGUCAGUGUUUGUUCGUUGAUUUUUUUUUUCCUUUUUCUUUUCAUAGUUUUUUGAGUUUAUUCUCCUUCUUUUUCUUUUAAUGUGCACAUCUAUUUUUAAAUAUUCAUUUCGGUAUUAGAGUCAGUGUUUCUAUCAAGAGGAUCCAGCCUCUCCAGGAAACCAAUAGUUGGUGAUCUUUCGUGACCAUCAUUUUUAUCUUGUUUGCUACAGUAUCAACAACAAAAUUCUUCUAACCGUGAGUUGCAUAUACUUUUAUUUCUUUGGUUAUUCAAUCAUUUCUU